CCUAGGGGCUCUCAGAUUUAGCCCUAGGGGCUCUCGGAUUUAGCCCUAGGGGCUCUCGGACUCUAGCCCAGCUUUUGGGUUCCUUUUUUUUUUUUUUUUUCUGGUGGUUGUGACAACACAUCUGUGGUGUGAUCUUGGAGUUUUCUUUAGGUUUCUUCGCUUCUAGGCUCUUGGAGAUCUUCGAUUAUUUGGAGGUUUGUUAUCAGAUUUAGGCUCUUUGACGAUGUUUUUUUUUUUUUUUUUUUGUUUCCUAGACUAUUUCUGUCUUCAUAAUGUUUGGAGAAUAUUCUAUUGUUAGUUUCAAUGGCAAAAACUAUCUUAGUUGGGAGUUUUAGUUUAAGAUGUUUGUGAAAAGUAAGAAGCAAGACAGAGUCUCUAAGUCAUCUACGGAAUCUGAGUACCGGGCGAUGUCUCUUGCUUGUUCUGAAAUCAUUUGGCUUCGAGGUUUGCUUGCGGAGUUAGAUUUUUCUGAGAUCGAUCCUACACCUCUACAUGCCGAUAAUACAAGUGUUAUUCAGAUCACGACCAAUCCUGUCUAUCAUGAGCGCACAAAGCAUAUUGAAGUGGACUGUCACUCUAUCCGUGAAGCCUUUGAAGCUCGUGUUAUCACUCUUCCACAUAUUUCCACUGACUUACAAAUUGUUGAUAUCUUCACCAAAGCUCUCCCUCGUCAUCGACAUUGCUUGCUAAGUAGCAAAUUGAUGCUUGUUGAUCAACCUGCAUCAAUUUGAGGGGGGCUGUCAAAGGACAGCUUUGCUGUCCACACUUCUUUCCUUAUUUUAACCCACACUUCUUUCCUUAUUUUAGCCUACAAUUGUUUCCUUAUUUCUCCAUUUAUUAUUCUAUACAGUUAGCAUAUAUUAUGUGACAGAUUAUAGUUUAGAUGUAUAGAACUAGAAUCAUGAGGGAAUUUAUUUGCUUUUAUUUGCUUUCCAUGUAUAGCAUCCUUGUAAAGGUAUUCGGCCAUUCACACAAUAUUUUGACAAAUUGCUCAUGCAUGAGCUUUCUGUUGAAUACAGGAGAUGUACUACUCAACAAAAAGGCAGCAGUUCUUGAUUGAUCAAGGUUAUAGCUUUAAGGUACUUGCUUUUAUUAUUUUAUUAUUGAACUUUGCACCUUUUUCCAGACAGAUCACUUUCUGCCAUCGGCGGGGAUAUUGUCACUAUGGCCUAGAGCUAGAUAUACCAUUAAACAUGCCACACUUUUGUUUGUUACACUCUGGAAUGGUUUCCCAGUGUGAUCGGGCAGCGUGGCAUUUGAUGCUUAGCAGUUAAAAUGAAGUUAUAUAAGUUGAGGAAAACUUUUUCUUUCCAUUUUCUGUUAUAUUUAUCUCAUUUUUAAUACCUUAUCCUAUUUAUGAACGCCUUCAAUAAAAUGUGGCAAGAUAUCAAGAAUAGUGAGCCAGCUACAUCUCUGGCUGUUCCUUCAUGAGCUCAACUCCUUUUGCAAUAGUUGUAGUUAUGUGUGUUCUGUAGGAAACUUCCAUGGUCAGGAUGCUAAUGUAUUUACAGUGUUUUGUCUUCCUCUUCUUGGAGGUCAUAAUCGGCACAAUUAUGCUCAUUUUCCCAAUUAUACUGACAGAUAAUAACAAGCUUGCCUCCGCCUGAUUCUGGCGCCGAUCUGAGCUACCACCGCCUGGAUGAGCAACUGGCACUUCUUGGAAAGGUUUCACUUCUAGUGCCCUUUGCACUUCAAGCAUUAUUAACCGAGCUAGAAAUUUCUGAACUGUUUUGGACCACAGGUAUUAAGUGCAGGUGAUGAUGCAGUUGGUCUAGAGCAAUUAGAUGAAGAUGCAGAUGACAUAGCACUCCAAAAAGCUCGUCGAUCUGUGGGAUCCAUGAGUGCCAUGUCUGGUGCUAGUGGGAUGGUUUACAUGGAAUACAAGUAUGGGUAUCCCUUCGUGUCCUGCUUCACUUUUUUAAAUUCAACACGGAAAAAUCAGUCUACCACUCUUUCAUAUGGCUCUUAACUUGCAUGGUGUUUACUCUACUUUUCCUUUACUGCAGUACUGGACGCAACAAACAUGGUGGGCAGGGCCAGAUCAAGGGUAAGCCCAAGGAUCCAUCCAAGAGACAUCAUUUAUUCAAGAGACGCUUUGGCUGAGAGAAAUAUGACUAAAGAACCAUCCACAAUGAUGGGCUCCCUUUUAGUAAUAAUAUAUGAUGCCAAGAUGAGUAGGCUUUUUGUAUAUUUCUCAAAACAGAGUGCCUGUGUUGAGUCUACCACCCCU
rnacentral:lncRNA from 1 species